AAAAAUGUCAAUUAUGCUUUAAUUGUGUGAUACUUUCUUAAAAAAUUGUUCAAUUUAUCCCUUUUAAAGUUAAAAAUAGCUUCUAUCACAACCAAAUGUUAUGAAACAUAUACAAAAUGCUUAUUACCACCAAACACAGAUCAACUCAAAUUUUGGUGGCAUAACUUACACUAUUCUUUAGUUACACCAUUACUGUUUGUUAUUGAACAAAGAGAGCAUUCUAACAACCAAGCGAUCUCUAAUGACAACACACAGAAACAAAUGUCAUUAAGUUUCAAGGAAAACAAAACGUCAAUAGGUAUGCAUUUGUACAUUGACACUGCAUAUUUAAAAGCUGGGGUACAUGUGUUCAAUGGACACAUUCUAAAUGUUUCUUACAAAAUUAAACAGCUUUUUAUACGACCGCAAAAAAAUUUUUGUGGUCGUAUAUUGGUAUGACGUUGGCGUCGUCGUCGUCGUCGUCCGGCGUCGUCGUCCGAAUACACAUUAGUUUUCGCACUCUAACUUUAGUUUAAGUGAAUGGAUCUCAUUGAAAUUUUACCAUAAGGUUCAAUACCACAAAAGGAAGGUGGGGAUUGAUUUUGGGGGUUAUGGUACUAACAGUUAAGGAAUUAGGGGCCAAAAGGGGCCAAAAAUAAGCAUUUUUGUAACUUCCAGACAUAACUUGUGUGUAAGUGUAUGGAUCUCUCUGACAUUGUACCACAAGGUUCCAUAUCACAAAGGGAAUGCUGGGAUUGAUUUUGGGGGUAAUUGUCUCCAAAUUUUAGGAAUUAGGGGCCAAAAAGGGGCAAAAAACAAGCAUUUUUCUAGUUUCAUGACAAUAACUUGCUUGUAAGUGUAUGGAUCUUUAUGAAAUUGUACUACAAGGUUCCAUAUCACAAAGGGAAGGCUGGGAUUGAUUUUGGGGGUUUUCACUCAAAAUUUUAGUAAUUAGGGGCCAUAAAAGGGCAAAAAAAACAUGCAUUUUUCUAGUUUCAGGACAAUAACUUGUGUGUAAGUGUAUGGAUCUUUAUGAAAUUGUACUGCAAGGUUCCAUAUCACAAAGGGAAAGCUGGAAUUGAGUUUGGGGGUAAUUGCCCUAAACGUUUAGGAAUUUGGGGCCAAAAAGGGGCCAAAAAACAAGCAUUUUUCUAGUUUCCAGACAAUAACUUGUGUUCAAGUGUAUGAAUCUCUCUGAAAUUGUAGUGCAAGGUACCAUACCACAAAGGGAAAGCUGGGAUUGAGUUUGGGGGCGGUGAAUCAUAAGGGGGUUCAAAAAAUUGGGGGGGGGGGGGGGAUUUUUUUUUUCCUUUUUUUUCUUUAACAUUUUCCAUUUUAAAUUGGUUAUUUCUGAUUUAUAUAUAAAAGCAAAUAAUAAUGAUAUGGUUUGAAUAGGCAUACAUGUGAACCUCCCGACGGGAGUACAAUAAUCCCGUUUUCAGGGGUCUCCUCCCGACCUCCCGUUGAAGAGGAAAAAAUCCCGUGUAUGAAAUUUUUCAUGAAUGAAAAAUUUCUGCCCAACAUAUCAUCUCAGGCAUCUGGUGUAACUGACAUUACCUGAAGUUAUAUUUUACCUGUAAAUCAAUUAACAUGCAUAAUUAUAUGGCUUCACUUGUCAGCUUGGGUGUCAAAUAUACUGGUAAGCAACGAUUUUUACCUCAGGCUAACUGCCGUUGUGUAACAAAAACUGUGUAUUUAUUGGGUUACUUCCCUUGAUUUAUCCUGUUUUAAGUUAAUUUCCUUUUAAUAAUGAAAAUUUUUAAAAGAAUAUAAAUAAAAUAUAAAUUGAACAAAUAAUCAUAAAAGGAUGGUUAUUAAAUGAUUUUAAAUGUCUUAGGACAAAUAAAAAAAUAAUAAUUUGAAAAUUAUUUGAGGAUUCUAUACUUCCUUUUAAGGCUUAAAUUGAAAUUUAUAUAAUAACUAUGACCCUAACUUUACAGAUAGAAUGAAUUUCUGAGUUUGCAAAUAAAAACUAUUUGCAAGAGAAAAAAAAAAUAAAUAAAAACUAUUUGCA